AUGUCGGCCACCUCCUUCGACCGUGCAGCGGAGCUCCGCGCGCUGGACGCCACCUACGCCGGCGUCCGCGGCCUCGUCGCCUCCGGCGUCACCCACGUCCCGCUCAUCUUCCGCGUCCCCGACCAACACCACGAACCACCGCAGGACGACAUCGUCUUUGCCAACCAGGAGCCGGCAGCCAUCCCGGUAAUCGACCUCGCGUGCGCCGACCACGCAGCCAUAGUGGCCGCCGUCCGCCGGGCCGCGGAAGAGUGGGGGUUCUUCGAGGUGAUGGGCCACGGCGUGCCGGAGGUGGCUAUGACCGCGGCCAUGGACGCGGUACGGGCAUUCCACGAGACUGAUGGCGGCGAGGGCAGUGACAAGGCGGGGCUCUAUUCGCGUGAGCCGGCGAGGGCGGUCAAAUAUCACUGCAACUUCGACUUAUACCAGUCGCCAGUGGCCAAUUGGCGCGACACACUCUACCUCCGCAUGGCGCCCAACCAGCCUGAAGCCGAUGAUCUGCCGGAUAGCUGCCGUAAUGUGUUGUUUGAAUAUGCCCACCAAAUGAAGAAUUUAGGGAACACUUUGCUCGAGCUGCUCUCAGAAGCUCUUGGACUCAAACCAAGCCACCUAGCAGAUAUAGAGUGCAACCAAGCACAGGUCUUACUGUGCCACUAUUACCCUCCCUGCCCCCAGCCAGAACUCGCCAUAGGGACAAGCCGACAUUCAGACGGUGGCUUCCUAACCAUACUUCUCCAAGACGAAAUCGGCGGCCUCCAGAUCUUCAAGGGGGAGCAAUGGGUAGACGUCACUCCUACUCCCGGAGCAUUCAUCGUGAACAUUGGUGAUCUCUUACAGUUGAUCUCCAACGAUGGGUUUAGGAGCGUGGAACAUAGGGUUUUGGCGAAGAACAUUGCUCCACGGGUCUCGAUUGCAAACUUCUUCGGAACGCACAUCGAUCCGACAUCGACAAGGAUUUACAGUCCAAUUAAGGAGUUAUUGUCUGACAAGAAGCUACCGUUAUAUAGGGAAACCCUCGCUAGUGAUUACAUCAAACAUUACUACUCCAUUGGGUUAGAUGCAAAAACUGCUAUUUCUCAUUACCAGCUAUGA
rnacentral:rRNA from 1 species